ACAACAUUCGGGCCGUUGGCUUAUGGGGCAAUAUUCAAGGCUCGAUGGAAGAUCUUCCCUUUGUCGU
rnacentral:pre_miRNA from 1 species